AAAAAAAAAAAAAAAAAAAAAAAAGCCUGGAAAGGAACAAAGAAAAAGUUUGCUUUCUUGCAGCAGUAUGACUUGCAACAAACAACAUAACAAAUACGACCUGCAAAAUAACAACGGCUGAAAUCACCUGGGAAGCUGAGCAUAUUCAGUUUCUUGACACAGACUUCAGCUUUUCUGCAGACUUUAUCUUCUUUGAUACAAAUGAAAACUGUCUGGAAAGAAGCAUAUGACUGAUUUUUUUUCAAACUCAGCUUAAGAAGACAAUUUUCUGAACAUGAAUCUCAUCAAGCUGAGGACAAUCAAGAAUGCAUGAAAAGCAAGCAGCUGGAUUGUCCCAGCAAGCUCAAGGUAUCACAGUGUUGUCCAUUUCUCAUGGAAGAUACACCUCAAAGUUAUCUUGGCAUUGAGAUUUUCUAUUCUAAGGUGGCCAGAUAUGGGAAAGCAUCUAUAGGACUAAAGAUUGAUUUCUUCAGGGUCAGUCAAACAGCAGCAGGCUGACUAAUGUUGUGGUAGUAAUACCAGCUCCCACAGUACUCCAAUGAUAUGAAUGAUUUUACAGGAAACACAGACCCAGAAGACUUGUGUGACACAAUGCAAUCCUGUGGUUUAAUUCUUCUACAUAGUGGUGAAGAUCAUAUUAUCUUGGUCUUUGUAAAGGCAUACCCAUGUAUCUAGAAGUGAAUAAAUAUUGGGAGAGCAGCUGAGCUUAAUUUCAUUAGCAGUUAUUUCAGUGACUAACAGAACUGCUGAAAGAGAUGCAAGUCCGUAACCAUCACAGAGCUUUCUUUACUCUUCCGAUUAAAUCUCCACUGUCUACAGUAAACCUAAAAAUGAAAUAAAAUAAAAAUCAGACACUGAAAAUCAAACUGUAAUCCUUCUAGUCCCUAUCAUUUUUCCCUAAGAAUAUUCUUGUUCUCUAAGGAUAAAAGUUUAUUAUUUUGGUUGUUCAGUGCAUGACCAGGAGCGUGUAUCCUCACCUGUAUGUGUACAUCACCUCUGAGAUAAGGGUAGAAGGAGAUUAAUAGUUAAUAUAUUCUGCAUGUCAGUUUCUUCCACCAAUGACUUUUGGUUUAAGCAGUAUACCUACAACUACAGAAGUCAUCUCUGGAAGCUCUUGUGUAUUUGUAUGAAAUCUCAAGUAUAC
ensembl:lncRNA